GUCUUCUAUGUCUCAGGGGCAUCCUGAGUCUGUUUACACUCUCAAGUUUAAUAAACAUUGCUCCAGAAAGAAACAUUUAAACUCAGAGGACUUUGCUGAGUAACGUCACCCUGGACAAGAAAGACAUCUUUAUCUCCUUGGAAGUAGCCUUGUGAUUGGCUUUAAAGCGAAGACUCUUGGGUGAGAUUAUUAAGGGAAAAUUAAAAGAGAAUAAAAUGUUUGAUAAUGUCAUUCAAUGGUUGUGACCACAACAGAAAUGGGAUAGGUCUGGAGCGGUGGAGCAGAGAUAAAAUGAAGUGAACAUUGUAUCAAACUGCUGUGGCUUUCUGAAGGAGUGAUCAGGUGCAACUAUUGAGAUGAGCUCUAAGUUGUACAUGUAAUAGAAGCAGUCAGCAGGAUCAAUGGAGACACUAAGUAUGACAGGUCUGGAGCUGGGUGAAAGUGGAAUCCUUCAGAAAGUGUAGUUCCUAGAGAGGAAAUAAUUGGAAUUUGAAAGUCAAAUCUCCAAGGAAGAACAGAUAUCUGCAAAGUGCAAUAUAACAUUAUCAUUUUUUUUUUACAUUCUACUUGCAUUUGGAGUAUACUGAGGUAUACAUUCUUAUUUAAAGAGGAGUUAAAAACUUUCCUACAAGUGAACAAGAGGGAAAAAUUGUUACUUGCAACACACACACACAUACCCCUCCCUAAAAUGUAGGUACUUCAAAUCAAAAUAUGAGAAACUAUUAAAUUCAUAGUUCAAUAACCAACUCUCAGAUGAAGUGCUUUGCCACACACCUUUUUAGAUGAAGCAACUGUAAUUUUUGCUCUAGCAAAACAUCUUCUGAAAACUACAAUUUCUAGUGGAAAGUAGGUAGAAUUAUGCGCCUUUCUUUUCCCUGGCGGUCCCUUCCCUUUCCUCUUUCUGGUGUUCCCUCUGGUCUCUCAGAAGUGCAUUUGCCUUCAGAGGCUUCCUUGUCUCUGGAUACAGUAAGUGGUGUCCAUCCCUUCCUUCUUUCCUUCCUGCGUGCUAUGUGGUCCCCUCAUCAGAUGGGGCAUCUCCUGAAAAAUGCAUCUCUCCACUCUGUACAAGUUCCCAACAUUUCUGACUGACUGAAGACUAACUGACUUUAAACAACAUUUGAAUAAGUUAUUGACCAUUAUUAGAAAUAGCACUGGAUGUGAACGUUGAAGGACCUUAGAUUUUCCACAGCAUCUGUUGAAGAAAAUAGCUCCGAGAGGCUCUCUGGUAAUCAUGGAACUCCCACUGUACACAUCAGGACAACGCUUUUAAUGAAACAGAGAGAGAAUGAUUUUAUGCUGUGAAUGGAAACUUAGGCAUAAACAUUCUGUAACAGGGGCUUCAUGUGACAUCAUAGCUGCUGAUGUUAUAAGGUUUUUAUCCAAAUGUUAUCUUUUGUAUUAAAAAACGAAGAGUGAACUUAUUAAUUGAAUUAAUACAUUUAAUGCUGGUAUUUUAUGCUGCCAAGAUAAUAACCUAGCACCUCUUUACUGGUGGCUCCAGUCUGUCUUUCACUAGCUGCUUAUCUAGUGGUUAUUACUGGCUUUGGAAAUAUCCUUGUGCCUCAGUUUGCUUCCAGACCCCCGUUCCUAUUGCUUCCAAUUUAUCGUUUUUCUCUGUAUCCAAAUUUUAGGAGUCUGUGUUGCACAUUACCAAAUCAGCAGUGUUUCAGCAUGAUUUACAGAGGACUUAAGAUAAAACAGCAUUUUUCAAACUUCUUGGCUGGAAACUCCCUUGAGUUUUAAUUUAAGGUCUCUGUUUCCUGAAUUCUCAUUGACAUAAAACAUCCAGGACUUGAGUUUUAAAUGGCUUCAUUUUGAAGGGAUUUUUUUAAUAGGCAUAUAAAGCUGCCUGAAUUU
rnacentral:lncRNA from 1 species